UUCCUACGGGAGGCAGCAGUGGGGAAUAUUGCACAAUGGGCGAAAGCCUGAUGCAGCGACGCCGCGUGAGGGAUGACGGCCUUCGGGUUGUAAACCUCUUUCGACAGGGACGAAGCGCAAGUGACGGUACCUGUAGAAGAAGCACCGGCCAACUACGUGCCAGCAGCCGCGGUAAUACGUAGGGUGCGAGCGUUGUCCGGAAUUACUGGGCGUAAAGAGCUUGUAGGCGGUUUGUCGCGUCGUCUGUGAAAACUCACAGCUCAACUGUGAGCUUGCAGGCGAUACGGGCAGACUUGAGUACUGCAGGGGAGACUGGAAUUCCUGGUGUAGCGGUGAAAUGCGCAGAUAUCAGGAGGAACACCGGUGGCGAAGGCGGGUCUCUGGGCAGUAACUGACGCUGAGACGCGAAGCUGC
rnacentral:rRNA from 1 species